rnacentral:rRNA from 1 species
GAUGAACGCUGGCGGCGUGCCUAAUACAUGCAAGUCGAACGCUGGAAAUCUAGCUUGCUAGAUUGAAGGAGUGGCGAACGGGUGAGUAAUACAUAAGCAACCUACCCACGAAGACUGGGAUAAUCUCUGGAAACGGGGACUAAUACCGGAUAGGUAAUCGGAAGGCAUCUUCUGAUUAUUAAAGGUUAAAAACACUGGUGGAUGGGCUUAUGGCGCAUUAGUUAGUUGGUGAGGUAACGGCCCACCAAGACGAUGAUGCGUAGCCGGCCUGAGAGGGUGAACGGCCAAAUUGGGACUGGGCCACGGCCCAGACUCCAAGGGGAGGCAGCAGUAGGGAAUUUCCGGCAGUGGGGAAACCCUGACCGAGCAACGCCGCGUGAGUGAGGACGGCCUUCGGGUUAUAAAGCUCUGUUGUAAGGGAAGAACGGUAGAUAGAGAAUAUCUAAAUGACGGUACCUUACCAGAAAGCCACGGCUAACUACGUG